GCGUCGAGCGGCGGACGGGUGAGUAAUGCCUAGGAAAUUGCCCUGAUGUGGGGGAUAACCAUUGGAAACGAUGGCUAAUACCGCAUGAUGCCUACGGGCCAAAGAGGGGGACCUUCGGGCCUCUCGCGUCAGGAUAUGCCUAGGUGGGAUUAGCUAGUUGGUGAGGUAAGGGCUCACCAAGGCGACGAUCCCUAGCUGGUCUGAGAGGAUGAUCAGCCACACUGGAACUGAGACACGGUCCAGACUCCUACGGGAGGCAGCAGUGGGGAAUAUUGCACAAUGGGCGCAAGCCUGAUGCAGCCAUGCCGCGUGUGUGAAGAAGGCCUUCGGGUUGUAAAGCACUUUCAGUCGUGAGGAAGGUGGUGUAGUUAAUAGCUGCAUCAUUUGACGUUAGCGACAGAAGAAGCACCGGCUAACUCCGUGCCAGCAGCCGCGGUAAUACGGAGGGUGCGAGCGUUAAUCGGAAUUACUGGGCGUAAAGCGCAUGCAGGUGGUUUGUUAAGUCAGAUGUGAAAGCCCGGGGCUCAACCUCGGAAUUGCAUUUGAAACUGGCAGACUAGAGUACUGUAGAGGGGGGUAGAAUUUCAGGUGUAGCGGUGAAAUGCGUAGAGAUCUGAAGGAAUACCGGUGGCGAAGGCGGCCCCCUGGACAGAUACUGACACUCAGAUGCGAAAGCGUGGGGAGCAAACAGGAUUAGAUACCCUGGUAGUCCACGCCGUAAACGAUGUCUACUUGGAGGUUGUGGCCUUGAGCCGUGGCUUUCGGAGCUAACGCGUUAAGUAGACCGCCUGGGGAGUACGGUCGCAAGAUUAAAACUCAAAUGAAUUGACGGGGGCCCGCACAAGCGGUGGAGCAUGUGGUUUAAUUCGAUGCAACGCGAAGAACCUUACCUACUCUUGACAUCCAGAGAACUUUCCAGAGAUGGAUUGGUGCCUUCGGGAACUCUGAGACAGGUGCUGCAUGGCUGUCGUCAGCUCGUGUUGUGAAAUGUUGGGUUAAGUCCCGCAACGAGCGCAACCCUUAUCCUUGUUUGCCAGCGAGUAAUGUCGGGAACUCCAGGGAGACUGCCGGUGAUAAACCGGAGGAAGGUGGGGACGACGUCAAGUCAUCAUGGCCCUUACGAGUAGGGCUACACACGUGCUACAAUGGCGCAUACAGAGGGCAGCCAACUUGCGAAAGUGAGCGAAUCCCAAAAAGUGCGUCGUAGUCCGGAUUGGAGUCUGCAACUCGACUCCAUGAAGUCGGAAUCGCUAGUAAUCGUGGAUCAGAAUGCCACGGUGAAUACGUUCCCGGGCCUU
rnacentral:rRNA from 1 species